UUGAGGGGGGGGGGGGGGGUUUAACCCCCAAACCACCCCCCUGUGUACGUGCCUGUUUGGACCACAGGAGUAUCUCAGUACUUAUUUAAACAAAACAAAAUUAAGGGUGUUACUCAUUUUUCUGCAGGUUCAUCAUUCAGAAAAGGCUAUAGGGUCCUAUUUCAUUUUGGAAAUAAUGAACCUUUUUCAUCUUCAGAAAUAUGUGGACCUUUGGAAUUACGAACCUUCUGAAAAAGAAACCUCCAGACUUGUAACCCUUCUGAAGAAACAACAUGUAAUGAAUUUAAAUUGUUAAAUAUGGUGUAGAGUUGAUUUUGUGUUUAGGUUUUAGAGAGAUAUUUUUCAGCUGUCAUUCUCAGCUGCAUUCAGUGACAAUUGUUAGCUGAACAUAUUUACCAGUUUGCAAUACUUGGCAUUUGUAACACUACAUGUAGAUAGUUCUUGAUGGUGUGCAAUAUGGGCCCCGUAUUAUAAAGAUUCAGCGUAAGUUGGAUUCAUCAUUAUAAUCCAGCGUAUCUCACAAUCAACUGUAACUCAAUAGCCGAUUUCCGUAUUUAAACGCCCUAGGAAAUCAAGCGUGAGUUACAAUGGAUUCGCGGUUAAAAAACUAUAGUUUAUAAUUAAAGAGGCGACUAGCGGCGAGUCUACGACUUGGCUCAUGCGCAGUAGCUCUACUUUGCUUCACUUGUCGUUUACCAUCGUCUACCAUCGUCUGCGACAAUGAACCCAAUUUCUGUGCUGGGAAAUGGUUUUUCGUAGCAAUCCCGAAAACAUACAGAGAGACUUGUUGCCAUACCAAAUGCUUGCCUUCUUUGAGUAUGUGCUUGAAACAAAAAUGUCGACUGGAGAGAACGGACCACCAUGCACCAUGAGAGUAGGAAUUGAAAAGGACGGCUUCCUGUCGAGAGAUCAUGGGGUGCCUUGAGGUUCCAGCCUUGAAUUUCUGCCCUUUACCUCAAAGCGAUGGCCUCUUGUAGGAGCAAAGCACAAUGGACUGGUGCCUGUACAUGUAAUGCAGAAGCUCUUGGUGAUAUGGUAGACACAACGAGGACCUUGCUGUCUAAAGCUCAAAGGCCAGAUGACAGAGUCUGAAGUACAUCCAGCUUGUCAGAAUUGGUUACAAAGAUGCAAGUGGACUUAUCUUCAGUAGUGGCUAAAGAGGAGCAGUCAGCCGAAGGAGCGUGCAACUCCAAAACAAUGUGGAUACCUCUCUCAAGUUCAUCUGUAAUCAGACACCUGGCUCAUCAGGAAUCAAGAUAAGACAGUGGAGGUAGAGGAGUCUGUGACCCUCCUGACUGUGGACUACUUGCAUUAUAAAUGUACUAAAUUAAUGGAUUGAAGCUCUACUGCACAAAACUCGACCAGUCAUGCUUGAACAAAUCGUAAUAAACACUUGAUGAAGCAUUGAUUUAUGUAACUGGUAUUAGCCUUAAGGUACAGUUAAGCUUCUAAAUUUGAUAAGAAACCUCAAGAACCUCAAGCUGCAACCCCCCCCCCCUGCUCUUCUGUAAACCCUUCGAGCAAGGGAUCAAAUGAAUUAAAAUCCUAACUUAAUUACUAAUGAA
rnacentral:lncRNA from 1 species